rnacentral:other from 1 species
AGAGCCCUACUGUGUUCGAAAAAAUCGUAUGUUUUGAGCCAACACUAAUUUUGCGGGACUGAUGCUCCUUUUAUGGCAUAUACGCCCCUUUUUAAGGGGACAUAUAAAGUAAGAGGGCAAAGACCCACCUGCUGAGGCAGGUUCAAAACUGCGAUCAACCCGGCAUGGUGGGGAAUUU